rnacentral:rRNA from 1 species
UACAGAGGUCUCAAGCGUUGUUCGGAUUCAUUGGGCGUAAAGGGUGCGUAGGCGGCGCGGUAAGUCGGAUGUGAAAUCUCGGAGCUUAACUUCGAAACUGCAUUCGAUACUGCCGUGCUUGAGGACUGGAGAGGAGACUGGAAUUUACGGUGUAGCGGUGAAAUGCGUAGAUAUCGUAAGGAAGACCAGUGGCGAAGGCGGGUCUCUGGACAGUUCCUGACGCUGAGGAGCGAAAGCGUGGGGAGCGAACAGG